UGAAAUUACACAAAUACACUGCGAUAAUCAAUA
rnacentral:sRNA from 1 species